UACGAAGGGGGCUAGCGUUGCUCGGAAUCACUGGGCGUAAAGCGCACGUAGGCGGAUUGUUAAGUCAGGGGUGAAAUCCUGGAGCUCAACUCCAGAACUGCCUUUGAUACUGGCGAUCUUGAGUCCGGAAGAGGUGAGUGGAACUCCGAGUGUAGAGGUGAAAUUCGUAGAUAUUCGGAAGAACACCAGUGGCGAAGGCGGCUCACUGGUCCGGUACUGACGCUGAGGUGCGAAAGCGUG
rnacentral:rRNA from 1 species